rnacentral:rRNA from 1 species
CGGUCUGCUUAACACAUGCAAGUCGAACGGAGUAGAAAUACUAGUGGCGGACGGGUGAGUAACGCGUGAGAAUCUGCCUUCAGGACGGAGACAACAGUUGGAAACGACUGCUAAGCCCCGAUGAACCGAAAGGGAAAAUAUUUAUAGCCUGAAGAUGAGCUCGCGUCCGAUUAGCUAGUUGGCGGAGUAAAAGCCCACCAAGGCGACGAUGGCUAGGGGUUCUGAGAGGAUGAUCCCCCACACUGGUACUGAGAUACGGACCAGACUCCUACGGGAGGCAGCAGUAGGGAAUAUUGGGCAAUGGACGAGAGUCUGACCCAGCCAUGCCGCGUGAAGGAUGAAGGCCCUCCGGGUUGUAAACUUCUUUUAUCUGGGAAGAAAUGCCUGUUUUCUAACGGGUUUGACGGUACGUGAGGAAU